AUAUGCGAACAUUCUUCAGUGAUGCCUUAAAAAUAAGAGAUUCAAGAAAAGGCAGUCAAUAUGAAGGAAGACCAACUAUAUAACAGGUAAAAAAAGAAGUUAUGGAAAGCGAACUGGAGAAGAAACCGAGAGGAAAACCAUAUAAAAACAUUCUUCAGUGAUGCUUUAAAAAUAAGAGACUCAACAAAAGAACCAAAAAGAGGCACUAAAUCUAAUGGGAGACUAAAAAUAUUCAGUAAAAAUCAUGAAAAAACAAAAGAAGGUCGAUUCGAUUCAGCGCUCCGAGAACACACGAAGCACUGAACCUGAAGAAGCAUAUGGCGGCCACACCGAGUUGCUCUUCACUUUGCUCCCCAAGAACUCUUAGAUAAUCCCUCCUGCACACCUGACCGUCACGUUGCUCAUCUCCUCUACCUGUCUGCCACCUGCACGUUAAGUCCCUGGCUGUAAUAGAUGCCAACCACACAAGAACCUUGUCUGCCCCUGGAAAGCUAUAAGGGGACAUGGGCGCUGAAAAUACAUACAGUGUGCAGAAUCUCAUUUGAUAGCGGUCUUCCUUGGCUUUCCUCAUAGUAAGGAGAUUUAACUUGGCAGCCUGCGUGAGCUGCCCAAGUCUGUCUUUGAGUGUGAUGGGACGGACAGCAGCUGGGCCUCUUGCACUCUCUGUGUCACUGCUGAAACAAGCAUGUAUCAGUAAGAGAUGUCCUUUGCUAUCUUCUUCAGGGGAUGGAAGUGACCAAUAAACAUCUCAAAAAUAUUUUGGAAUGUUUUAGAAGCUUUAAUUAGGUAUGCCUUAAGUAGCUUAAAUUUCCUUUGCUUUGUAAAAUUGGCACUGCAUUGGCAGCUCUGCCUGGCCACUACUGGGGUGGGUGGUGCAGGUGCAGCAUUAUGGGGUGGAUGUUAGAUGGAAGAUUCACGGCUUACCGUGUCUUGCUGCAGAGGAGAAGUCUUCACUUACAUGAUUGACUUCAUUGUCUAUAGUCAUGUUAAUUCAUGCCAAGCUUACAACAAUAACACAAAUAAUCAAUGAGACAUCUUUAAAUCAAAAAGGGGACAAGGACACACAAAAACAUUUCCACACCCCAACACAAAGCAACAUUGAAUUAUAUUUAUCUUUUGAAAAGGAUUGACUGUUAUUACUGCAUGUCAACCCUCUACAUGCAAGGGGAUGUUAGCAAGAUGCAAUAUUAAGACCACAAAUUCACCAGAAACAAAGCAAGGGACUCGUGCCUUCACAGCACUUAAUUUCAAAUUUAACAAAUUUAUUGCUACUAGAUGCUUGCUGAACACACGGGUUUAAACCGACCAGUAGGAUUUUUAAAGUUUUUGUGCAUCAGUUGAGCGGAAUGAAUCACUUAAACAUAUAACUAUUGCAUUGG